rnacentral:rRNA from 1 species
UACGUAGGGUGCGAGCGUUGUCCGGAAUCACUGGGCGUAAAGGGCGUGUAGGCGGGAAUGUAAGUCGGGCGUGAAAGCCCCAGGCUCAACCUGGGAACUGCACUCGAAACUGCGUUUCUUGAGUAUCGGAGAGGAAAGCGGAAUACCUGGUGUAGAGGUGAAAUUCGUAGAUAUCAGGUGGAACACCAGUGGCGAAGGCGGCUUUCUGGACGAUUACUGACGCUGAGACGCGAAAGCGUGGGGAGCAAACAGG